CCUACGGGAGGCAGCAGUAGGGAAUAUUGGGCAAUGGACGCAAGUCUGACCCAGCCACGCCGCGUGCAGGAAGAAGGCCCUCUGGGUUGUAAACUGCUUUUGACUGGGAAGAAAAGACCUCUUGCGAGGAGAGUGACGUACCAGUGAUAGUCUGCUG
rnacentral:rRNA from 1 species